rnacentral:misc_RNA from 1 species
ACCAGCGAGCGGGAAAGCAGCAAGAUCAGGACCGGGAUCAACAAGUGGGUCCUACUUACGUAU